GGUGAGUAACACGUGGGUAACCUGCCUGUAAGACUGGGAUAACUCCGGGAAACCGGGGCUAAUACCGGAUGCUUGUUUGAACCGCAUGGUUCAAACAUAAAAGGUGGCUUCGGCUACCACUUACAGAUGGACCCGCGGCGCAUUAGCUAGUUGGUGAGGUAAUGGCUCACCAAGGCGACGAUGCGUAGCCGACCUGAGAGGGUGAUCGGCCACACUGGGACUGAGACACGGCCCAGACUCCUACGGGAGGCAGCAGUAGGGAAUCUUCCGCAAUGGACGAAAGUCUGACGGAGCAACGCCGCGUGAGUGAUGAAGGUUUUCGGAUCGUAAAGCUCUGUUGUUAGGGAAGAACAAGUACCGUUCGAAUAGGGCGGUACCUUGACGGUACCUAACCAGAAAGCCACGGCUAACUACGUGCCAGCAGCCGCGGUAAUACGUAGGUGGCAAGCGUUGUCCGGAAUUAUUGGGCGUAAAGGGCUCGCAGGCGGUUUCUUAAGUCUGAUGUGAAAGCCCCCGGCUCA
rnacentral:rRNA from 1 species